UAAUCUCUCUCUUCCCUGUCUCAAACCCUAGACGACCUUUCUCUUCUCUCUCUGUAACCCGAACAACAAACGGCGCCACAGAAGAUCCUUCCCUCACUGAUUCUGCAACAACAUCUGGUGUCGAUACAGUAAUUCUGAACUCGUAACGACCGGCGAAACAGUGAAAAAGAAGAGAAAGGUUUUGUUUAGAUAGAAAAUACAGAGGGCGGCAUAGAUCGGUUCUCCAACCUUCUGAAGGUCUGAAGGCAAAGUUUUAGUCAUCAAGUAUGCAUAAGAAAAAUAGCCCGAGUCAUAAGAAAAGUUGCUUCCAACUUCAAGGCUGGAUUAGAGAAUUUAUAAUUUUUGAAAAAUCCUUUUAUUUUUUUAGUUUUGGUUUCUAUUUUAUUCUGACAAAGAUAAAAGCUUUUUUAUUCAUAAAAUAGAGUUAAGAUAUACAAUCACAUUCAAUUGAUUUACAAACUAUUGAGGAAAAUAGUCAAUUAAAUUUGCA